UUCUUAUCCAGAGAGGUGGAGGGACUGGCCCUAUGAAAUCUCAGCAACGGACGAUGUACCGUGCUAAUUCCAGAAGCGUAUGCUUGAAGAUAAGAA
rnacentral:ncRNA from 2 species